AUGGCCACAUCAUUUUAAAACCCCGGUUCUCGUACGAUCACCAAAGUUAAGCAAUAUCGAACCCGAUUAAUACCUAGAUGGACGAUUGCUUGGGAAUAUCAGGUGCUGUAAG